CGGAGGGAUCAUUACCGAGUUUUCAACUCCCUAACCCUUCUGUGAACCUACCUAUCGUUGCUUCGGCGGACUCGCCCCAGCCCGGACGCGGACUGGACCAGCGGCCCGCCGGGGACCUCAAACUCUUGUAUUCCAGCAUCUUCUGAAUACGCCGCAAGGCAAAACAAAUGAAUCAAAACUUUCAACAACGGAUCUCUUGGCUCUGGCAUCGAUGAAGAACGCAGCGAAACGCGAUAAGUAAUGUGAAUUGCAGAAUCCAGUGAAUCAUCGAAUCUUUGAACGCACAUUGCGCCCGCCAGCAUUCUGGCGGGCAUGCCUGUUCGAGCGUCAUUUCAACCCUCGACCUCCCCUUGGGGGGGUCGGCGUUGGGGACCGGCAGCACACCGCCGGCCCUGAAAUGGAGUGGCGGCCCGUCCGCGGCGACCUCUGCGCAGUAAUACAGCUCGCACCGGAACCCCGACGCGGCCACGCCGUAAAACACCCAACUUCUGAACGUUGACCUCGAAUCAGGUAGGACUACCCGCUGAACUUAAGCAUAUCAAUAAGCGGAGGA
rnacentral:rRNA from 1 species